rnacentral:rRNA from 1 species
UUUUAUUUAAAUUUAAUAUUUUCUUUUUUUAAUCAAUUAAUUAAUAGAAUUAUCUUAUAUUUUAGUAUUUUUUGAAGAAUAAAUAUUAUAUAUUUAUAGUUUAUUUUAACUGUAAAGGUUUAUUUUAUAAAAUUAUAUAAGUAAAAUGUUUAUUUUGUACCUUUUGUAUCAGGGUUUAUCUAAUUCAAAUAUUUACAUAAUAAGUUUCCCGAAUUUAGAGGAUCUAUUUAAAACUGUUAUUUAUUAUGAUAAACUUAUUAAUAAGUUUUAAAUAGAAAUUAUAUGUUAUUCAAUUCUAAUUUAUCUGGUUUCUUAAUAAUUGAAUUUAAUUCAUAAUUACUUAACUCCAACAGAUCAAUUUAUUUCUGUUGUAAAUUUUAGGUAAUUUAAAAUUAAAGGGGAUAAGCUCUUUUGUUUUUUUAUAGAUCAAAUAUUUACAUAAGGUUAUGUAGGAUUAGAAAUUUUCAUCAUUAUAUUUUGUUAUAAUUAUACCUUAAUUUGUAUUAAUUUAUUUUUGAUCUUGAAUUUUUAUUAAGAUUUAUUAUUUAAUUUUUAAUUAUUUAGUCAUAAUGAUAAAAUUAGUAGAUUAUUAAAUUAAUGUAUAGUAACUUGGCAAUGAAAUUCUUCACCUGUUUAACAAAAACAUGUCUUAAUGUUUUACUUUAUUAAGUCUAACCUGCUCAAUGAUUAAAUUAAUUAAAUAGCCGCAGUAUCUUGACUGUGCGAAGGUAGCAUAAUCAUUUGUCUUUUAAUUGGAGGCUUGUAUGAAUGGUUGGAUGAGGGAAUAACUUUCUUUACAUUAAUUAUAUUGAAUUUAAUUUUUAAGUUAAAAAGCUUAAAUUUAUGAAUGGGACGAGAAGACCCUAUAGAAUUUUAUUUAAAUUUGAUUCAUUUUAUUUUUUGAUUAAUUUUAAUAAAUAAAUUUAAUUUAAAUUUUGUUGGGGUGACAUUGAGAUUUUAUAAACUCUCAUAUUUUAUUUAUUAAUAAUUUUUAUUUUUAGGAUCCUAUUAUAUGGAUAUUUAGAUUAAAUUACCUUAGGGAUAACAGCGUAAUUUUUCUGGAGAGUUCUUAUCGAUAGAGAAGUUUGCGACCUCGAUGUUGGAUUAAAAUUAGAUUUAAGUGCAGAAGCUUAAUUUCUAGGUCUGUUCGACCUUUAAAAUUUUACAUGAUCUGAGUUCAGACCGGCGUGAGCCAGGUCGGUUUCUAUCUUUUUAUUUUAUUAUAUAAAUUAGUACGAAAGGACCAUUUAUGUCAAAUAUUAUUUGUUUAUUAAUGAAUAAUUUUAA